GGGCCCGCACAAGCGGUGGAGUAUGUGGUUUAAUUCGAUGCAACGCGAAGAACCUUACCAGGGUUUGACAUCCUGCGAAUUUCUGGGAAACCGGAAAGUGCCUUCGGGAGCGCAGUGACAGGUGGUGCAUGGCUGUCGUCAGCUCGUGUCGUGAGAUGUUGGGUUAAGUCCCGCAACGAGCGCAACCCACGUCUUUAGUUGCCAGCAUUUAGUUGGGCACUCUAGAGAGACUGCCGGUGAUAAACCGGAGAAGGUGUGGAUGACGUCAAGUCAUCAUGCCCCUUACAUCUGGGCUACACACGUACUACAAUGGUAGUGACAAUGGGCUAAUCCCAAAAAGCUAUCUCAGUUCGGAUUGUCAGUCUGCA
rnacentral:rRNA from 1 species